UCCUUCCAGAAGUUAAUUGACUUGACCAGGAGGCUGAUGCAAGAAUGCUUCUCUGAGUAGGGCUGAGGGAACAAAAAUUUGGAAGACUGAGAAGGAUGUGAGCCUUUCAGGGAGGGGGACACACAGUAUGUGAAGAGUACAAGGGCCUUCGGUUGAGAGAGGGAGGACCUGAGAGAUGCACUCAGAAGAGGUGGGCGGGGGCUGGGCCCUAAGCAGGCCUGGGGCCUCCUGCUAAGGAAGACGGAGGUCUUAGAGCAGCAGUGGAGGACGGCUGGAGUUUGGCCUUGAGGAGAGAUGCGGUCGUACCUGCACUGCCAGCCGACCAAUGCGGUGUCAAGCAUUAGACGGGGUGUGUGGGGGUGAAGGCAGAAGACUCACGGGAUAGCACGUUUCGGGGACUGGGAGGAGUCAUCUCCCCAACGUGGUCCUGCAGUCCGGUUCCCAGGCACUUUGCCCGCAGCAGGGUCUGUGGCCCUGCGCCAUCCCUCAUGCCUCUCCAAGAGGGGCACCGACUGAACGUACACAAGACCCUGACAUGGGAGUGAAAACGCCGCAGAGACAAAGGCACAAACCGUUCCUCUGUGUUGCUGAGAGUUAACAUCCACCAGAGGCCAGCGGUGAGGCAAAGCAUCAUGUUGGAAGCAAGUAGGAGGAACUUACUCAUCUCAUGGCAGCCAGGAAGCAGAAAGAGAGGAGCGGGAUCUGGGUAAAACAACACUUCAAGGACAGGUGCCCAAUGAACUGUUUCCUCUGAGUAGGCCCCACAUCCGGAAGAUUACCCCACCUCCCUUCACAGUGAGAGCCACCAGGGACCAAGCGUUCAACAUAUGAGCUUGGAGGAGACUUUGAAGAUCCAAACAAAAGCCAAUAAAGUUGAAUAUAACCGUUUAUUUGGGUAUAUGCUUUUUUGAACUGUGAAUUUAAGUUUCUAAAUAUUGGUUUAUCUGCCUCAUAUUUUACUGAUUUGGAGUUAUUUAUUUGGAUGUGCCUUAUGUCACAAACAUUUUAUGGGAAAUAUUUUCUCCCAAUUAUAGAAAGCCUUAUCCUUGUAUUACUGUCUUCUGUGGAAAAUAAAUCCUUAAUAUUAAUGUA